GCCCGGUUAGCUCAAUCGGUAGAGCGUGAGACUCUUAAUCUCAAGGUUGCGGGUAAGUCAUGGAAAAUAGUAUGGUCGGCCACGAGCAAACCGAAAAACUAACAGAAGUUGAAUAGGUUCGACCCCCGCAUUGGGCU